UACGUAGGGUGCGAGCGUUAAUCGGAAUUACUGGGCGUAAAGCGUACGCAGGCGGCUGCGCAAGACAGAUGUGAAAUCCCCGGGCUUAACCUGGGAACUGCAUUUGUGACUGCACGGCUGGAGUGCGGCAGAGGGGGAUGGAAUUCCGCGUGUAGCAGUGAAAUGCGUAGAUAUGCGGAGGAACACCGAUGGCGAAGGCAAUCCCCUGGGCCUGCACUGACGCUCAUGCACGAAAGCGUGGGGAGCAAACAGG
rnacentral:rRNA from 1 species